GGUAGGUCACUUUUUUUCGUACAUUGCCUACCACACUGGCUUGUUUAAAUUGUUUGUAUUCUUCGUGUUGUUCAAAGUUCUAACGUGACUGAAAUAUCUACCCUAUGUGGGAUACUUGAUUUCAUCUACAUCAUUGUUUUGUUCGUAAAUUUGAGCUAAUUGCUCGAAGUUUUUCUGCAUGCACAUUCAUACAUAAAAAGAUUCAUCAACUUAUGAUAUACACCUCUAUAAAUGUACCGCGUCUUGAAAAUAUUGGUCUAAUAAAAAUAAAAACUAAUUUUGCUGCGAGUUUGCACCCGCUCCCCAUCUUCAUGUAUGUUACUGUGUUUGGUAGAUUCCAGUCUUAGAUGCUUAUGAUACUUCCUUCUCUAUUUUAUUAUGUCUUGGCUCUUUGAAAUUGGAGCUGGUUCUGUGGCAUGUCUUGGCGCUUGAUUGACUUGCUUGGAUGUUGUUUCUUGGUCGGGUUUUUCCUGGAAAUGGGAGUUUUAUAUAGAAGCCGAAUGGUGAAAGGAGCAGCAGCCCUGUGCAGCUUUCCAAGGUUAUUAUUAUUUUUUAUUUUUUUUUAUGAUCUGUCUCAGAAAGUCAAUGCAAGUACUUGCUUAUAUGAUUCUUCAUUUUGAUAGUAGUUUUUUUGUGCUUGAUCAGUUUUUAGGGCGCAACAAAGAUGAUGGUGUCCGUCGCAGUGCCGUAUCGGGCAAGAAGGUAUUAAUGUAGUAUUUGACAGUUAUCUGUUUCUUGGGUGUUGUUAUUUGCAGUAGCAAUAUUGAUUAUUCUUUUUGUGUCGUUGUAGAUUCUUCUCAAACUUGAUAAAACAAAGGAAGAUAAGGAGGCAGAGAGCAAGAGAAAUGAACUGCUGAACUUUUUAAAUGCUAGUUUUGAUUAGCACUGAGAAGGUAUGGAUUUGUUAAGAGGGUACAUCAAAGUCAAAAACGAACCAAUUUUACUUGGGUGCAUAAUUAUUUUGUUAUUAUCAGAAUCAAGCAAUCUACAAUUUAGACGGGUGGGGUGCGGUAAAAUUGUGCUUACAAUUGAAAGACUGCAACCAAGUUUGUUCAACAUGUGUGGUUUACAGUCAAUGGUUUCCUCUAUUGUGGAUUUUGUUAUGAGCUUUUGUAAGAUGACAACCUUUUGACCUUGCCAGAUUCAUUGAGUUUAGUCGGUCAUUGUUUUAUGUGCCGUUUUUUUCAAUAGUUUUCCCCUCUAUUGUUAUUCUGGGCUCAUGUGACUGAAUUGUCAAAUUUGCAUUUGAAUUACAUAUUCUGAUACAUAUGGGUUUUAGUUUUGAUUUGUUGUUCUUUAUCAUUACAUCAUUUGUUUGCACCAAGUACCAACUCUAGGAUCCUUGUUGAAACAUAUGGUAUGCCUAUGCCUUGUUGGAAUGGAGCAACCUCUCCUCUAUAUGUCUGCUUACGUCGAAACGUUUUUGGGAAAUGUUAACGAGUGUCCUAAAGACACUUUUAACAACCUUAGCUCAUGCAUUCAAUGCUUGGAAAUUGAAGUAUGACUUUUCCGAUAGGUAUUUUCUUAAUUUGGAAUUAUUAAAGAGCUCUUGGGGCACUCAUUAGCAAAGACCCAAAUUUUUUUAAGAGAUGGUUGUAAAUACAAUUGAUUAGGUUUUUUCAGGGUGGGGUUGGGAGCUAUGCUUCUAAAGAUUUGGCAAAAUUAGAAGAGAUCGAUGGGGGGGCUUUGAUGCUCAUGGUGUCUUGUAUGUAUCAACUGGUGAAUUAAAACAUAUUUUAUUCUUGUUGCAGGCAUCCAGCCUUCAUUGAUUUUUUUUUUUAUUCACGGGUUAACUUGAACUAAUCAUGUGUUUUUUUUUUUUUACCAUGAAUGCUUAUUCCUUCUUGUUGAAAUUGUGCGGUAACACAAUCUAGAAAUUUUGAUAAACAAAUAGUUGGUCGGGUGUUAGAGCAUCCUCUAAUGGUCUAUUUUUAAGGAACCUACUUUGAGUUUCAUAUACUACUAUUUUUAAGAGUAAUGAUAUUUGAGCAUCAAAAUUCUCUCAAGUUGGAUAACAUCAAAAAGUGGUAAAUGAGUUUUAUUAAAUGGCAAAUCUUUCAGAGAAUUCGAGUUUGAUUUUUCAUGAAGUGUUAAAACAAGGAUCUUCAUCUUUGAAUUUAUACAAUUUUGCCACUAUAAUUCUUUUUAUAUCAAAUUUUUAUCACUUUUUUUUUUUUUUUUUUUUGUCAAAAAAAAUAUUCUUUUAGUGGAGUAUCUUUACCAUUAAUCAUUUUAUUCCUCAAAUCUUGUUGCAAAUAAUCAAUUUAAUUCUUUGGUUUUCUUUGAUCAUUGUAAAAUUGAUAACAAUACAUAUGAUUACUCAAAUACUCCCUCUGUUUCAAAAUACAUGUCCAAAUCAACCACUUUACAUAUGCUAAUGCACAAUUUUGACCGUUAAUAUCUUUAAUUAUCUAAAGUAAAAAAUUAUAAAAAUUUAAUAUUUUGAAAAUAUUUAUCAAGACAAAUCAAAUAACAUCUUACAUGCUAAUAUUUGUAGAGUUUUUCUAUUUACCCCCCAUGUUUUUCUGGUUACACACAAAUUUUCUUAAUUUUUUUAUAAUACCAAAAUUGCCCUUUUAUAUAAAUUUUCUUAAAACCCUAAUUUUAUUCAUUGUCAGUGAGUUUCACCCUCUUUCACCCCACAAAGCGAUCGAUCAAACAAUUUGAUGUUCAAUAUCAAUCUCCAUAAAAAUUAAAGAGUGAAUCAAAAUAUUUUUCAUCCAUACUCAAUUGGAUAUAAGUAAGUGAAUUUCUUCUUCUAUUUGCUAGUUUCAAUUUUUUUCCUUCAACUGCAAUGAUGCACUGUACGAUUACGGUUUUAAUUUACAUUGGCAAGGUUAACUUAAAUUCAGUUUAAGUAGGUUCAUGUAAACUUAAAUUGAGUUUACAUGAACCUACUUAAACUGAGUUAACAUGAACCUACUUAAACUGAGUUUACAUGAACCUACUUAAACUGAUUUUUUACAAAAUCGCAGAACUGUGAAUCGCAGAACAAGGAAAACACAAAAUCAGAACUGAGAACCCAUAACAAGAAAAACACAAUCGAUUCAAGAACAACACUUGCUAACCUGAUUUGCUUCGAAUUUUCUUUGAAAUCAUGAAUGGACGUGAGAAAGUAUGGUUUUGAAAAUCUUCGCAGAACACAAUCGAUCGAUUGGAGAAUUAUGGUUUUGGAAGAAGGGUUUUGGGGUGUAACCAAAAAAGAAGGAAUAGGCUUUUUGAAAAUCAAAUUUUAUGAAAGGGUAAUCUUGUCAUUUUGGGGUGCAACCAUGAUUAACUAGGGUGCAAGUAGAAAAACUCAUAUUUGUAUUGAUACAUUAGUUAAAAAGUAUGGUCAAAGUAAGUCAAGUGAAUAAUGCACAUUGCAAAAAUUGGACAUGUAUUUUGAAAUGGAGGGAGUAGAAAGCAAUUUUCAUACAUUUUUUUUUUCCGACAGAAUCAAUUUCCAUAUAUUUAAUAACUCAUUCUAUUCCAAAAUACAUGUCGUAUUUUUAUUUAUUCAUAUAAAUUACUUUGACCUUAUUUUUUAAUCAAAAUAUAAAUAUAAAUGUUAAUAUGUAAAAUGUCGUUUUGACAAAAAAAUUCAUAAUAUUAAAUUUUUAAUUAAGUGUAUUAAUAAUUAAUUAAGUUUUUUUGAAGGAAUUAAAUUGUAUAUUGACAUCUGGUAAAGUGGUUCGGUGCGAUAUUUAUUUUGAACAUAGGGUGCAAAAUAACAAUAGCCUGUGGCAUGGCACGUUUAUUUCGAGGAAAUCGAAUGGAUAUUAUCCCAAUCCGUGUGAUGUGAGGCUGUGUUUUUUCUACCACCGUAAAGUACGUCUCUUGAAACAUCGUUUUCAUAUUGGAAACAUAUUCUGUAAAUUUCCAUUUCAAAACGACCUUCUAACAUUGUGAGAAUCGACAGAGAGAUGGAAGGAAUAGAGCACAGAAGAGUGGAAGUGAAUGGAAUCAAAAUGCAUAUUGCUGAGAAAGGUAAAGAAGGACCUGUUGUUUUGUUCCUUCACGGCUUUCCUGAACUCUGGUACUCUUGGCGCCACCAGAUUGCGGCUCUC
rnacentral:lncRNA from 1 species